AGUUCUUUUCAGAAAUAUCCUGAAUUUGUUAUGGCCUGAAAUGGGGGUUUGUUGCCUGACAGUGAAUGCGCUGGUGGAGGAGAGGGGUCCAUGUCAGUGACGGCGUAGUCAACAGCACUUGUCCUGAGAGCUGAGCAGGUCCAGGAAGUUGCCUGCUUCCACCACGCAGCGUAUGUUAAAAGAACCUGCCUGCAUCAAGCUGGGGAAUCUCCACCAGGAGAAUCUCCAUGGAGAGGACCGGAAGCACGUGACCUCCAUGUAGAAGACCCAAUGAAAAAGCAGAAGGACUGGAAAUUGCAUAACCUCCACACCCCAAAUCUACCAGGAGCAUCUCCACCAUCAAUCUCCAUGGAGAGGACCGGAAGCACAUGACCUCCAUGUAGAGGAUCCAAUGAUAAAGCAGUAGAACCUGCCUGCAGCAAGCUGGGGAAUCUCCACCAGGACAAUCUCCCCGGAGAGGACCGGAAGCACGUGACCUCCAUGUAGAGGACCCAAUGAAAAAGCAGAAGGACUGGAAAUUGCGUAACCUCCACACCCCAAAUCUACCAGGAGCAUCUCCACUAUCGAUCUCCACGGAGAGGACAGGAAGCACGUGACCUCCAUGUGAAGGACCCAAUGAAAAAAGUGGAAGGACACGGAAAUUGCGUAACCUGCACACCACGAAUUCAAGUCACCUGACCUCCUUUAUUUCGGAAACGAGUUGGUUUUUAAGAUGUUACCACUUGUAUAUCAAGUCGUUUUAAUUAACGGUCGAUAAGUCUGGUUACAACGCAGCACUUAGCUACGUUAAGAUAACACCCUUAGUGCUCCGUACUAGGCUAAUAACAAGCCGGGCGUAAUGCUGGCUUCAUGUAUAAAUUAUAUAUAAUGCAUAUUUUAAUUACUGUUUAUUUAAAUGUACAUGUAUUCACUGUAGCCUUACAGUGGGCCUAUAAUUAGUUUUAGAAGUCUCGGUAUGCUGUGACUAUGAUACCCUCGCAUCUACGAUACCAUGUUUACCUUAAAAGGGAGUUGUCAUCUCUUCUCUGGAGACACACCUGUUUGUGCAUUUACGAGUCUGGUGUUUCUCAGGGAAUACAACUGAUAACUUCUAAUGAUUAAUCAGUUCAUGACAAUUUAAUUAUUCAUGUCUAAUGAGAAUAUUUUUGAUUAAACUCAUUUUAAUCUUA